rnacentral:rRNA from 1 species
CCUAGGGGAGGCAGCAGUAGGGAACAUUGGGCAAUGGGCGCAAGCCUGACCCAGCGACGCCGCGUGAGGGAUGAAGGUCUUCGGAUUGUAAACCUCUUUCAGUAGGGAAGAAGCGAAAGUGACGGUACCUAAAGAAGAAGCACCGGCUAACUAUGUGCCAGCAGCCGCGG